UACGAAGGGUGCAAGCGUUACUCGGAUUUACUGGGCGUAAAGCGUGCGUAGGUGGUGGUUUAAGUCUGUUGUGAAAGCCCUGGGCUCAACCUGGGAAUUGCAGUGGAUACUGGGUCACUAGAGUGUGGUAGAGGGUAGCGGAAUUCCCGGUGUAGCAGUGAAAUGCGUAGAGAUCGGGAGGAACAUCCGUGGCGAAGGCGGCUACCUGGACCAACACUGACACUGAGGUACGAAAGCGUGGGGAGCAAACAGG
rnacentral:rRNA from 1 species